rnacentral:rRNA from 1 species
UACGAGGGGGCGAGCGUGUUCGGAAUUAUUGGGCGUAAAGGGUGCGUAGGCGGUUUGGUAAGUCUGAUGUGAAAUCUAUGGGCUCAACUCAUAGUCUGCAUCGGAAACUGCCGGGGCUUGAGUAUGGGAGAGGUGAGUGGGAAUUCCUGGUGUAGCGGUGAAAUGCGUAGAUAUCGGAGGAACACCAGUGGCGAAGGCGAUCACCUGGGGUUGUUCUGACGCUGGAGGAGCGAAAGCUAGGGGAGCAAACGGG